rnacentral:rRNA from 1 species
CAGUAGCGUAUAUUAAAGCUGUUGCGGUUAAAAAGCUCGUAGUUGGAUAUCAGUGCGUGUCCGGUCCGGUAUGCCCGGCGGCGGCGCUCGCGCGUCACUGCCGGGCUCCCAAAUAUCGGCUGGCCGCAUUCAAUCGUGCCGGAUCCGUCGACGGGCCGUUCUACGGAGGGGCCUGUUGGCGACCGGCGACGUUACCUUGAACAAAUUAGAGUGCUCAGAGCAGGCUCUGAAUGCCUGUAUACAUAUUCAUGGAAUUGGAGAAUACGUCCCUGGCUCGAUUUGGUUGGUUUUGAGAGUCGAAGGGAAAUGAUUAAUAGGGACUGACGGAGGCAUUCGUAUUGCGACGCGAGGGGUGAAAUCCUGUGACCGUCGCACGACGAACUACUGCGAAAGCAUUUGCCGAGAAUGUUUUCAUUAG